GAAAUGCCUCCAUGAGAUCCAGCUGUAAGGCAUUUUCUCAAUGAGUGAUCAAUAGGGAAGGCCUCAUGGUGGGUGGGGCUAUCCCUGGGCUGGUGGUCCU
rnacentral:miRNA from 1 species